UACGUAGGGUGCAAGCGUUGUCCGGAAUUAUUGGGCGUAAAGAGCUCGUAGGCGGUUUGUCGCGUCUGCUGUGAAAUCCAGGGCUUAACCCUGGACCUGCAGUGGGUACGGGCAGACUAGAGUGCGGUAGGGGAGAUCGGAAUUCCUGGUGUAGCGGUGAAAUGCGCAGAUAUCAGGAGGAACACCGGUGGCGAAGGCGGAUCUCGUGGCCGUAACUGACGCUGGAGGAGCGAAAGCAUGGGAGCGAACAGG
rnacentral:rRNA from 1 species